CCUACGGGAGGCAGCAGUGGGGAAUAUUGGGCAAUGGGCGCAAGCCUGACCCAGCAACGCCGCGUGAAGGAAGAAGGCUUUCGGGUUGUAAACUUCUUUUCUCAGGGACGAAGAAAGUGACGGUACCUGAGGAAUAAGCCACGGCUAACUACGUGCCAGCAGCCGCGGUAAUACGUAGGUGGCAAGCGUUAUCCGGAUUUAUUGGGUGUAAAGGGCGUGUAGGCGGGAGCGCAAGUCAGAUGUGAAAACUCAGGGCUCAACCCUGAGCCUGCAUUUGAAACUGUGUUUCUUGAGUGCUGGAGAGGCAAUCGGAAUUCCGUGUGUAGCGGUGAAAUGCGUAGAUAUACGGAGGAACACCAGUGGCGAAGGCGGAUUGCUGGACAGUAACUGACGCUGAGGCGCGAAAGCGUGGGGAGCAAACAGGAUUAGAUACCCCAGUAGUC
rnacentral:rRNA from 1 species